rnacentral:rRNA from 1 species
UACGGAGGGGGGCUAGCGUUGUUCGGAAUUACUGGGCGUAAAGCGCACGUAGGCGGCUUUGUAAGUUUAGAGGUGAAAGCCCAGGGCUUAACCCCUGGAAUUGCCUUUAAGACUGCAUCGCUAGAAUUGUGGAGAGGUAAGUGGAAUUCCGAGUGUAGAGGUGAAAUUCGUAGAUAUUCGGAAGAACACCAGUGGCGAAGGCGACUUACUGGACACAUAUUGACGCUGAGGUGCGAAAGCGUGGGGAGCAAACAGG